GUUUGCUAAAGGCACCUCAUUGGAAGGAUGAACACUAUCUGCUUCUGAGUUAGUGUAUCUCCAGAAAAGAAAUUGAGGAGAAGAGCCAAGAACAAGUUUAACACCUGCAGGUUAGCACAGAACUGGGAUCUGCAAGUGAGGAUAUCCAGGAUCCAGUUACACAAAGAAGUAUCGAGGCAUAGACCUUGGAGCUUAUUAUUUCGGACGGGC